rnacentral:misc_RNA from 1 species
GUGAAUCAUCGAAUCUUUGAACGCAAAGUGCGCUUCCUGGCAUAGGGGGAAGUAUGCCUGUUUGAGGGACAGUAUUAAUAAAAAAUCGGUUUGGUCGCAAAUCGUGACGUUUCGGGAGUUUGGGCUAUCUUAACUUUUUUGGUUAAGGGGAUUAAAAUUGACCUUAUUUGAGGGUUUUUAGACGUACAUAAAUUUUUUUUCUAUUCGUCCAUUCUUAAUGCCAAAAUCUUCUUAGAUGCGAUUACGUCGUGUGGUUUCGCGUCC